GUCAUAGCCUAACGGCUGAACCAGCAACUUGGAAGAAUGUAUAGUGAAAGCUAACUAUAUUAACUAUAUUUUAGUAUAGUAUCGACUACGUCGACUAAAAUUCUGGGUAGAGUAAUGAUAAUGACAUUUUCUGCUCAUAAGUCUUGACCAAAUCACGUGCCAGCAGUCGCGGCAAUACGUGGAAGACUAGUGUUAUUCAUCUUAAAUAGGUUUAAAGGGUACCUAGACGGUAGAUCUAGCCCCCAAAGGGUACAGAUAUACUAGAGUUUGAUGAGAGGGGGGUAAGUACUGACGGAGUAGAGAUGAAAUUUUUUGAUACCGAUAUAAGAGACAGGUAUAGGCGAAAGCAACCCUUUAUGUAAAAACUGACGUUGAAGGACGAAGGCCCUGGUUACCAACAGGAUUAGAUACCCCAGCAGUCUGGGCAGACAAUGAUGAAUGUCAUAGAUUAGAUUAUAUUUAUUCUAUAAAUGAAAGUGUAAGCAUUCCACCUCAAGAGUAAUUUGGCAACAUUGAAACUGAAAUCAUUAGACCGUUUCUGAAACCAGUAGUGAAGUAUGUUGUUUAAUCGGAUGGUCCACGUAAAACCUUGCCACAAUUUGAAUAUUUUUAUUUUAAUAAUUAUACAAGCGCUGCAUGGCUGUCUUCAGUUAAUGUCGUGAGAUUUUGGUUAGUUCCAUUAAAUUAACGCAAACCCUUACUUUAUUUAUUUAUAAAGUAGUUCACCGCUAUAUUGGAUAUGAUAACAGGGAUUAAGACAAGUCCUUAUGGCCUUUAUAUUGUGGGCUACAGACGUGCCACAUAUGCCUCCACAAAGGGAUGCAAAAUUGCGAAAU
rnacentral:rRNA from 1 species